UUUUAUCAGGACUCACUCAAGAUCCAUGUUACUUGAUAUUUCCACUGAGCCCAGUUCAUAUCUUUUUUGAUUAAUUUCAAAUCAGUACCCUCCAUAUAUACCCUUUUCUGUAACCUUUGGUGGUGGUUACUAAUUGUACUAGUGGCACAGUGGUUUUUAUCGGCUACUCUUAUCCCAAGAUUUUACUAUAUGAGGAUUUCUUCCUAAAUAUAGUUAUCUAUCUA